AAUUUCCAGCAAGAGAAAUUACAGAAAUCCACUGAAACGAUAUUAAAAUCGGCAUUUUUAGUAUGUAGAUUGGAGAGAAUUUCGAACUCAUAUUAUGCGAAUUGACGUGAGUACGCCCAGUGUAGGUACAGGGUGGUUUAAAUGUCUCGCUUCAAUGGAAAAUUUUUCAAUGAAAAUAAUUCGUAGGUUUCCAUUUGUUAUCGAAAUUUUAUCUCUGGAAUUGAACACUUGAAGAAUUUUGUCAUCAGUUUUGAUAAUGAUUAAUAAAAAUCUCAAUUCCAAACCAUCCUUGCUCUUGGAGAUUUAGGGGCUUUUCCCAUUUGCAAAAGUCUCCUUUGUAGCGAUGCAUUUAAACCAUCCCAGUAUAAAACAAGUGUCUUGUUCCUUACGAGCCGGACAUAAAGGAUGUGACCGAUUUUCAGCUAAUUUUUGCCCCAAACCCCCUCGUGUGACCUAGGUAUGCGACGUGCUAUAAUUAAAAGAGCAAGCCUUAUCCCUACCUCCACUCAAAUCGAGCACAUCCUUUUUGCUAUGUCCCCUCAUUUUUGUAACAAAGAGAUAGCUCGAUCACCUUGAAAGCGAAACAAUUGAUCCAUUCUACACUGCACAGACAGCUUACGUGGUCCUGCAUAAAGCAGGUCUGCGAGAAAUCUUAUUAAUCCCACCUCAUCCAAUAUUAAUCACAAGUGGUGUAUAAAUUUAGCCAAAAUUUAUCACAUCCUUAACACACGGUCCUGCUUGAAUGAAUAAGAUGAUCAUGAUUAUCAUGCACUUGACGAAAUAUCCUUUAACACACUGUACACAUCUUCAUUCAAUACACCUUUCACUCAACAGGUUAUUAUUUUUUAAGAAUAUAAUUAUUGAUACAAUUAUUAAAAAAUCUUAAAAAUGUGACCCCGUUAUUAAUUUCGCUGUGGUAAAUUUCACCGAUUUAAAGCCAAUUAACAUUGUUUCGAGUGAGAAUUACAUACUUAAUUCCUAUAAGAUUUCAUGUAAAGUAAAGUGCACUCCAGUUGUUUCAUUUCGAACAACGUUUAAUUAGCUAAAUGGUUUGUCUUUGGGCUAAUUCGUACAAAUGGAAAUUUGAAAUAUUUAACUCUCCUUAUCAACUUACAUACAUGGCUGAAAUUGAAACGGACACCUGGUUUAAAAACCUUAUCAAGGAUAUUACUCCAUCAUCGCCAACAUCAAAGCCGUAAAUUUACGUAUAUGUUUAUUAGUGACCUUGACGACAAAUUUUUCUCUGAUUUCCUCCUGAAUUCAGCCCAUCAUAUUUUCAUCACCACUUCUCUCAUUUCGAAUUGGAGGGUCGUCCCAACCAUACUACGUAAUGGAUCCUGUAGAAUGGAAGCUGCAAAAAAUGGAAACGGCGAAAUUACAUAUCUUGUUCCGGUCAAUUACUUAAGCUGCCUUCCCUUAAUAACUCUUCGUUUAACUGUACGUAAAUAUGUAUAGUAGCUAACAAUGGAGGUCUCCCAACGUGUGCUCACCGAUUUUUACCAAACUGGUGCGAAUCGAUCACGAAUAUAAUUAAUAUGAAAUUUGAACAAAGCGGGUAGUUCUGCUGGUCCCAGGGCGCUCCAUCGCUCUUGCCCCUCCAUCAUGACGAUGUCGGUGCCAUGCAGAUAACCGAAUAGCGAAUUGGCAGACACAUAUUGCCCUUUGCACGUUUGAUGUUAAUUAAAUUGGCGAUCCACUUUGGCCAAAAUCUGCGUACAUACAUAGGCAAACCUCCAUUGUAAAUUUGAGUAGUCUUAUUGAGUAUAUAUUUUAAUUAAGACCUUAACCGUACGGUCCACUCUGGAGAUAGGAAUGCUGUACUUUUUUGUGGAAAUGUACAGUUUUUCCAGCACGAUCGGUUUUAGAAAGAAAGUUCAUUUUACAAAUUUUUUGAACAUAGAGACACAAGUUGAACCAACCAGAUACACUUUUUUCUGAGGUAGUGUAGAACCAAGACUGCAUAUAUUGGUACUGUUAUGUUAACUUGAAACUCUGGAUAAAUAGCUUAAAUGUAGUCGCACAAAAGUUUGGAUGCUUGCUCCACAGAUCGGACAAGAUAACGACUCUGGUCUUCAAUUCCAGUUCUGCGUAAUGAUAUCAAUUUUAGAGUUAAAAGAUGGAUCGAAGUAUCCAGUCUAGAAAGGCUUAUAGCAGAUUCUUAUAAUAGCUGAGGUAGUCUCUCUUUGGAAGGAGGUAGCUGAAAAGAUGACCACCAUUGUAUUGUAGUCAUUGUUUUUUGAAUAUUCAAUGUCAAAAUUCCCAGUUUCCCAACUUUCAAUGGCAUGGAGCCAAUGCCAAUGGAAGUUAGCUUAAGCUUUGUCACGUGCCUGGUCGAACGUAAUGUCGCAUGGAAAACUAUACCCAGGGCCAGAUUCUUGCGAUUCUUGCUUGGUGAUUGACGGCGCAACGUCGUCUUCCGAUAGCUAUUCUAGAUUGCCCACGCACACAUAGAUUGAAGGCAGGUUGAAAUGAAAUGACAGGUUGAAAUGUUGCUUGCUGAGUUACUUUGUAAUAACUGAACUUUAUUUAACGAAAUUUUCCUUUAUAUACAAGUUUUCAAGGUUAAACAUUAGUUUCCAACAAUCUGGAAUUAUCUACAAACAUCUUAAUUAUGAUGCAAUAUUAAUCUAGAAUAAUCUACGUAAAUCUAGGUGUAUUGUUUAUUAUGCUGAAGUUGACCACAACAUGUAAGCACAUGUGCAAAUUAAGCGAAAACCGCAUACACGCAAGUGUGAUGCUUAGUUUGGAUGGCUAAAGUUUAUUGAGUCCAUCCAUAUAAAUAUGUACAGUAAGUUCCCCUACACAUUUAUUCUUUCGGACCUGCACAUCUCGGAGAAACUUCUUUGAAGCAUCAUAAUUCUAAGGCAUUAACAUACCAAAAUAGGCGUAUAUGGUAAUCACAACAAUGACACAGGUAUUGUCAAAAGAACACAUCUUUCCCCUUUUACUAAAACCACCCAAUUUUGGUAGUCUCUAAAAUCAGCUAGAAGCCUAUCUGCAUUAGAAUUCCAAAACAUAUUCCUUGUGUUUCUAUUGUGCUGUAUAUAAUUUUGUUGUAUAGGGUUCACAAAAUAUAUUCACAAAUAUACAUGAUAGACGGCAUACAGCCAGUGAGUAUUGCUCACUCGAGAUGAGUUUCAAGGGUUAGACACGGCUAAACAAGUACAAACAUGUGAGGUUAGGAAUGUUCUCCUCAUUAAUCGUCAUUUUUAGUGGUACACUGGUUGAGUAGAUUGUCAUAAUCUCGUCCAUUAAAUGUUCACUAGACUCGAGGAAUUUUGUAUGAAAUCAAAAUCUCGGGUAUACCUUGGCCUACGUAUUUGUUCACCUUUCCAUAUUCAUCGAUAAAUAAAUAUGUACAUCUGAACUUCAAUGUUUGUAUGCAAUGCAGAAUUUGGAUCAGCUUAGGCAAUCUUUCACUGCACAUAACAUCGACAAGAAAUACAAAAUUAUGAAUUACUUGUCAUGAAUUACUUGUCAAAGAGGUGAACACGACUUGAUGUUAUUAGUUAAAAAGAAUACAAAAAACUUGAAAUUAAAAUGUAUAAGCAUAUGUUACAUAUUUAUAUGCAUGUAUGUAGUACGGUAUCGUAUAUCUUCUUCCCAUCUUUCAAGUUUUCCCACAUAAGAUGAAAUUGGCUUUUAAAUUCUGCCAAACUACCUUUCGAAACCUUAAAAUUAUGCUUAAACUAGCCUAUAAGCCCGUCUAAAGACGGUCCACAUCAAGUUUUAAAUCAACACAGCAAAAU